rfam:Picea glauca, whole genome shotgun sequence.
GCAACGGUGUCUUUAGACACCACCUUUAUCUUCGAAAUUUAUUGU